ACGAACGCUGGCGGCGUGCCUAAUACAUGCAAGUCGAACGGUCUUUUCUAUGGAAGCUUGCUUCCACUGAGAAGAUAGUGGCGAACGGGUGAGUAACACGUGGGUAACCUGCCCAUAAGAGGGGGAUAACAUCCGGAAACGGGUGCUAAUACCGCAUAGUUUUUCUUGAUCGCAUGAUUGAGAAAGGAAAGACGGCCUUUGUGCUGUCGCUUAUGGAUGGACCCGCGGCGUAUUAGUUAGUUGGUGAGGUAACGGCUCACCAAGACGAUGAUACGUAGCCGACCUGAGAGGGUGAUCGGCCACAUUGGGACUGAGACACGGCCCAAACUCCUACGGGAGGCAGCAGUAGGGAAUCUUCCGCAAUGGACGAAAGUCUGACGGAGCAACGCCGCGUGAGUGAAGAAAAGGGUUUUCGGAUCGUAAAACUCUGUUGUCAGAGAAGAACAAGUUGGAGAGUAACUGCUCCAGCCUUGACGGUAUCUGACCAGAAAGCCACGGCUAACUACGUGCCAGCCGCUGC
rnacentral:rRNA from 1 species